rnacentral:lncRNA from 1 species
CCAAACCUAAUAUAAGACUCAAAAAUUAACAGUUCCACUUGUGUGUUGUCAGGUGGUACCAUUUUAUCUUGUAUUGUAUUAUCAAGAUGCAAAAUUUAAAAUGGUCUUUGGAUUGAUGCCUAAGAAUUGCUUGAUUUUGAUCUGGUUGUUCCCUAAGACCCUUUUAGCAUCCGUAGUCUCAGUUUUGGAUAAAAUCUAUUACCUCUAUUUCUUUGUCUGAAAGAAACUAUCUGAAUUACUUUUGGUUCUACUGAAUUUUACCAGGAAAAUUAACGAUUUCCAAAGAGAAAUAGCAUUACAUAUUCCAUGAAUAUUUCUAAUAGCUAGUCAAUUUCCCAAAUCAAUUCCAUACGCAUAUUAUUGUAUGAAAAUCUAAACGCCUAUGGAUAAUUGCAAAAGCUCUCUACGCACAUCACUAAAAUCCACCUUAAUAUCAUGCAUACUCCUAAAUACACCAAAAAGCAGCUGUUCCCUAAACUGUUACUACAACAUUAACACAACAAUUCUAUUAUAUUUCUGUUUCCCAUUUGCGCCCCUAUUUGUAUUAUCAAGAUGCAAAAUUUUUACACGUUGGAUGGUUCAGCUACAUGUGGAGAGAUCAAUCAUUGGAAUCAUCUGAAGGGUUCAACUGGUGCAGAUUCUUGGAGAAGUGCAGCAGCCUCAAAGCAUUCAGCGGCUUCGAGUGCAGAUGCACCAUUUUCACUUUUGUAUAACAAGCCAAGAUUGUACCAAGCUGAAGAAUUUGUUCUGUCAAGCCGUAAUGCAUCGGUCAGAAAGCUUUUCACGACAGGCAAUGUUUGGCCGCUGAGUUGUCGAAGAACAAUGGCAGUGGAAACCAAACUAGGAACAUGGUUUGGUUCUAUGUCUAAAGCCUUCUGAAAAGAUUGUAAUGCCUCUUUGUGGAGUCCUCUAGCUUGAUAGAGUAACCCUGCAAAAUGACCACCAUUUAUGAUGUCUUCAGAAGUUGGCUUUGUAAGACCUCAUCUCAAAGAUGAUUAAACAGAAAACAUGAAAGAAAACCUUGUGCCCUACUUAACGUCUAGAUUAGCCAACAUUUACAGACUUGUCUAUGUAACAUCAUGCAACAACUUUAGAUUAAUCGAC